rnacentral:rRNA from 1 species
GAUGAACGCUGGCGGCGUGCUUAACACAUGCAAGUCGAACGGUCUCUUCGGAGAUAGUGGCGGACGGGUGAGUAACGCGUGAGGAUCUGGCCUUAGGACGGGGACAACAGAGGGAAACUUCUGCUAAUACCGGAUGAGCCGAGAGGUAAAACAUUUAUGGCCUAGGGAUGAGCUCGCGUCUGAUUAGCUAGUUGGUGGGGUAAGGGCCUACCAAGGCGACGAUCAGUAGCUGGUCUGAGAGGAUGAUCAGCCACACUGGGACUGAGACACGGCCCAGACUCCUACGGGAGGCAGCAGUGGGGAAUUUUCCGCAAUGGGGGCAACCCUGACGGAGCAACGCCGCGUGCGGGAGGACGGUUUGUGGACUGUAAACCGCUUUUAAUAGGGAAGAAGGUCUGACGGUACCUAUUGAAUAAGCAUCGGCUAACUCCGUGCCAGCAGCCGCGGUAAUACGGAGGAUGCAAGCGUUAUCCGGAAUUAUUGGGCGUAAAGGGUCCGCAGGUGGCUAGUCAAGUCAGCUGUUAAAGGCCGGGGCUUAACUCCGGACGAGCAGUUGAAACUGGAUAGCUAGAGUACGGUAG